UUUCCCUAACGAAAAAGCUUUCAACGAUGUCCAAUAUCCCUUCCUUUUCCAAAUUUUUUUACGAAUACGCUUUUUUGAGAUAGAAGUACGUUUUUUUGGAACUGCCAUUCAAAAAUGAAAAAAAAAAUUUCAGUGGUAUAAUUGGAUGUCAAAGACAUUUAUUAUUCUAUUCUUUCGUACUCCAUAUCGAGUUAUUUUUUCUUUUAAAUCUUAUUAUAUAUAUAUGAUUUUCAAAACAAAAAAUACAUUCAAAAGUUUCAAACCCAACUGUUUUUUUACUUUUUUUUUAACGUUUGA
rnacentral:lncRNA from 1 species